rnacentral:rRNA from 1 species
UACGAGGGGGGCAAGCGUUGUUCGGAAUUACUGGGCGUAAAGGGCUCGUAGGCGGCCAACUAAGUCAGACGUGAAAUCCCUAGGCUCAACCUAGGAACUGCGUCUGAUACUGGAUGGCUUGAAUCCGGGAGAGGGAUGCAGAAUUCCAGGUGUAGCGGUGAAAUGCGUAGAUAUCUGGAGGAAUACCGGUGGCGAAGGCGGCAUCCUGGACCGGCAUUGACGCUGAGGAGCGAAAGCCAGGGGAGCAAACGGA